AAACCAGAGCACCCGGAGGAAACCCACGCAAACAUGGGGAGAACAUGCAAACUCCACACAGAAAGGCCCCGGAACAACAUGGAUUCGACCCAAGAACCCUCUUGCUAUGGUGUUCCUGUUUUGGAUUUGAUGUCUCUCUUCCUCCCAAAUCUGAGAGAUGUCUUCAGUCCAUAUAACUGAGAUCCUGCCGUAUACAGUGAUGUUAAGAAAACAUUUGACAGUUGCACCAUUGCUGAUAUUUAUGAUGAGUGUCUUCAGAGGACAUACCCUCACAUGUCAUCCAACAGAGUAUCUGAACGGGGAUCAGUGCUGUCCUAUGUGUUCUGCUGGAAGUCGAGUUAGAAAACAUUGUAAAGAGUUCGGUACUUCCUGUUUGAAUUGCGACGAGGGAACAUUCAUGAAUCAUCCUACAGGGCUCACAGAAUGUUUUCACUGUGCGCACUGUGAUUCAGGUUCUGGUUUAAAGCUGAAGACAGCAUGUACGACUACCUCAGAUACAGUUUGUGAACCACUGGAGGGAUUCUACUGUCUGUUCUCUUCAGGAAACAGCUGUGUGGAAGCACAGAAACACAGCAGCUGUCAACCAGGACAAUAUAUCAGCCAAAAAGAACGGGAGGGACUUUGCCUCUCUAUCGAAAGGAGGUGCUGCUACAGUGCUGUUACAGUCAUUCCCCGGCUGCAGUAAAUGCAGGAACAGCAUUAAGGGACACUGAGUGCUCUGACUGCAGCAAUGGAACAUUUUCUGAUGGGACAUUAUUGACAUCGUGUCAGCCACACACACAAUGUCAAUCAUUGGAUCUUCAGCUGAGAAAACCAGGAACUGCUUUAACAGAUGCUGAAUGUGGAGAACAAAGUUCAGGAGCUGUGAUCGGUGCCGUUGUGGGGGGGCUUGUGCUAGUGGUCGGACUCGCAAUAGCUCUGGUUUUUUUCGUGCAGCGUCUCAAAAGGAAGAAAGACACAG